rnacentral:rRNA from 1 species
GAUGAACGCUGGCGGCGUGCCUAAUACAUGCCAGUCGAGCGAACAGACGAGGAGCUUGCUCCUCUGACGUUAGCGGCGGACGGGUGAGUAACACGUGGAUAACCUACCUAUAAGACUGGGAUAACUUCGGGAAACCGGAGCUAAUACCGGAUAAUAUAUUGAACCGCAUGGUUCAAUAGUGAAAGACGGUUUUGCUGUCACUUAUAGAUGGAUCCGCGCCGCAUUAGCUAGUUGGUAAGGUAACGGCUUACCAAGGCGACGAUGCGUAGCCGACCUGAGAGGGUGAUCGGCCACACUGGAACUGAGACACGGUCCAGACUCCUACGGGAGGCAGCAGUAGGGAAUCUUCCGCAAUGGGCGAAAGCCGGACGGAGCAACGCCGCGUGAGUGAUGAAGGUCUUCGGAUCGUAAAACUCUGUUAUUAGGGAAGAACAAAUGUGUAAGUAACUAUGCACGUCUUGACGGUACCUAAUCAGAAAGCCACGGCUAACUACGUG